GGGAUAGGGUGUCCAAGGUGAAAAAAAAUGGGGGGUAUGUUUCUGAUAUGGCUCUUGAGCGCUUAUGGUCUGGGGGUGCCUGGGUAGCCCUCUAAUCGCAAUGCGUCUGAGCGCCCAUGGUUUGGGGGCGCCUGAGCGCCAGGCAACAUUUUUUUUUCCAGGUUGAUUUUUAGGCAUUUUGUGAUACUUGAGUUGGUUGUUUUUUGAUUCUUUUAUGUAUGUCUCAUGAUUUGCUAUAUUUAGAUGAAAUGUA
rnacentral:lncRNA from 1 species